GUUCAGUUCAGACUGUGAUGACUUUGAUGGUGACUAUUUCUUUGAAUUGGGCAAGUUGGAAAAGAAAAAUACACGUUGGGUACACCGUUAGCCAGAGUGCAGGCUAAUUCGGGGGAAUGUGGAAAAGCAGAAUACAAAGCCACGGACUGUAUAUUGAUCCUUGGAGAUGUUCCUGAGGUUACGGGGGAUACUUCAUGAGCAUGUAGGCUCAGUGAUAGAAAGAAAGGAUGCAUUAUUUUGUUGAAGAGGAGAGGUUCAUCGCUGUGAGAUGUCCAGUUUUCAUAAUAUGAAAGGAGCAUAUGACAGUCCUUGAACACAGAUGGAGAAAUCUGGUGGCUGAGUUACCAAAAUCAACUAAAUGCAGGUAUUGGGACCCUCUUGCAGGUCGAGAGACCCC